rnacentral:tRNA from 1 species
GGAAGGGUGGCAGAGUGGUCGAAUGCAACGGUUUUGAAAACCGUCGUAGGUAACACUACCGAGGGUUCGAAUCCCUCCCCUUCCG